GCGCGGGACGGAAGUCGCCUGCGGUGGCGGCUCGGUAGCCGCCGUCAUGAGUCGCCUGAGUCGGCUACAGAAACAGAUUCUGAGCUUGUACCGUGAGCUGCUGCGCGCUGGCCGCGGGAAACCGGGCGCGGAGGCGCGCAUCCGGGCGGAGUUCCGGCAGCACGCCGCCCUCCCGCGGUCCGACGUGCUGCGCAUCGAGUACCUGUACCGCCGCGGACGCCGGCAGCUGCAGCUGCUGCGCUCGGGCCACGCCACGGCCAUGGGCGCCUUCGUGCGCCCGCGGGGCCCGGGCCAAGAGUCAGGCGACGCCGCCGCCGGAGCCCCGGGGACCCCACCUGACGCAGGUCACAGACCGAGGGAACCUCACGACCACACGGGGGCACCCGACACCCGGCCCGAUGACCGGCGAGGGAGUCCCCCGGUCGGUGGCGCCCGGGGUGCGGCAUGACAGUUUGGGGGAAGACCGGAAACUCACCUGAUGGCAGUGCUGGGGAUGGAAAAGGCCUUGCACAUACACACUACCACUGAGCUAUAUCCCCCAUCCCCAAGGUGACCACCCUGUUAAUGCUACGCUGGCUCCAUUUCAAGGUUUCACUGUGUAACUCAGACUGGUCUUGAACUCAGGAUCUUCCUGCUUCCACCAUCUGAGUGCUGGAAUUAUAGGCGUGUACCACCACACCUGGCUGCCUGAAUGCCUGAAGGCCACUUUAGCCACCAUUAGACUUAAGAAGGAAACCAAAACAAGAACUGAAGUGGAUAUAUCCUUCGUGGCCCUGGAUCUAGAAGUCCUAAACUUCUUAAUUACUCAUAGAAAUAAACUCUCAUUUCUGUUUAAAGUCA